rnacentral:lncRNA from 1 species
UGAUAUUCUCCUGGAAAGAGCUCUUUUUUAAUAAAAGGGAUCAACGAACCCAUUACCUUACCUUUAAGAUAGAUCAGUAAACAUGGGAAUAAUUAUGGGUGAUUAUUCAGACUAGUGCACACAUUUUACAGUUCAAACAAGGCAAUGCCGAGCGUGGCAUCCCCUCGUAUGUAACAUAUUGGGGACAAAUAUGGACACUAUAUUUGUAUAUGACACAUGCAGAAAAUAGUAAAUUGAAUAUGCAUAUUUGAUAUAUAAACUAUUUUUUUAGAAAUCAACCAAAACAUUCAGUAACUUGAAAUACCUUUAAUAUUGUCUUUAGAACCAGCAGGUAAAAAAAUGAGCAACCAAUUUCCUGUGUAUUAUGCUAUUUCAAGGAGAA